rnacentral:lncRNA from 1 species
UCAGCUUUAGUAAAGGAAGCAAUAUUGAAAACAAUGUUAGAACAAUCCUAUGGAUCUCAGCUAUUUAGACUUCCCAGAAAUUGAAGUAGAGCCUUUCUAGUAAGUAACAGUUUAGUUUGCCCCCAAAAUGUAUAAUUACAUAUGGAACCCACCGUAUGAGAUUUGCUAUUUUCUGUCUCUAUAUGAAGGCGUGCGUUCUGUAAUUACCUAAGAAUGGGAAGAAACUGCUUACCGAGCAGAAACAUGGUAGGUACAACUCUUCUAUAUCAAAAAUGAUAAAUGUGAAAUGUGUGAGAUACAAAUAAUAAGAAUCAUAUUUCUCUAAUUUUUGGAGGCUGUUUAAACAGAGACACUCAACCUAGCAAACAUCUGGUUGGAAAUUUAAAAUUUUAGUUGAGCAUCAGGAUGUUUUUCUGUAUCUGGAAUGUUAGC